GGGGGCGACAUGGCUUCGACGCCGGUAGCGAACCCUUGGGUGCAUGUCGAGAUGGCAGCCAAUCUCGUUAAUCCAAAGCUGCAAGCAAUAGUCGCAAACGACGACAACUACGCACUGGCGGCGUAAGCCGCUGGUCGUCCUGACCCGGGUGCCUGUAAACGGGUAUUUCAGGACGUCAUAGCUAACAGGCUGCUCCUUUAACCAGAGCUCACUGGUUGAAGGCUAAGAUUCAAAGAGCUCGCCUUUUGCACCCUGACCUUCGGGUCGCAUCAGGUUAAACGAAUAGAAGGACACUAAACAUGUAGAGCUCAAGGCAGAGUACUGGCGGACGCGGGUUCAAUUCCCGCCGCCUCCACCA
rnacentral:tmRNA from 1 species